rnacentral:rRNA from 1 species
GCCAGCCGUAACACAACAAUCAAACAACCAAUUGUUCGCCAAAUAACUACGAGUAAAAACUUAAAAUUUAAAAGACUUGACGGUACUUCACAACAACCUAGAGGAGCCUGUCUAAUAACCGAUACCCCACGAUUAACCCAACCCCCCCUGGCCCAACAGUCUAUAUACCGCCGUCGCCAGCUCACCUUGUGAAAGAAAUACAGUGAGCCCAACAGGUCCCCUCCCCCUAACACGACAGGUCGAGGUGUAACUAAUGGGGGGGAUAAGAUGGGCUACAUUUCCUAACACAGGAAACACGAAUAGACCAUGAAACUGGAAACUGAAGGCGGAUUUAGCAGUACGUUAAGAACAAAAUACUUAACCGAAAUCAACGCNAUGAGGUGCGU